GGCCAAGCUACCAAGGGCCUGUGGUGGAUGCCUUGGCACCGAGAGGCGAUGAAGGACGUAGCUACCUGCGAUAAGCCCCGGUUAGCUGGAAGCAAGCUUACCCGGGGGUCUCCGAAUGGGACAACCCCGCCGGGCAAACCCCGGCGAUCCUCGACUGAAUGCAUAGGUCGGGGAGGCCAACCCAGGGAAUUGAAACAUCUUAGUACCUGGAGGAAAGGAAAGCAAUACGCGACUCCGCUAGUAGUGGCGAGCGAACGCGGAAUAGCCCAAACCGGAAGUACGUGAUAGGCCGUAUCCGUUGUGCUUCCGGGGUUGUGGGGCGUGUCAGGGGAGCGAUGCGGCGCUCCCGGAAGGUUACAAAACGACCCUCUAGCCGAAUACGUCUGGAUAAGGCGAGCCAUAGCGUGUGAUAGCCACGUAGGCGAAAGAGGACCGUCCUUCUGGAUACGUUCCCAAGUAGUGCGGGUCACGUGAAACCCCGCGCGAAUCUAGGAGGCCCAUCUCCUAAGGCUAAGUACUACUCGGUGACCGAUAGUGAACAAGUACCGUGAGGGAAAGGUGAAAAGCACCCCGAAAGGGGAGUGAAAUAGUACCUGAAACCGCAGGCCUACAAUCAGUCGAAGGGCUAUGCAUUGCAAGCCUGACGGCGUGCCUUUUGCAUAAUGAGCCGACGACUUCUCCUACGUGGCAAGGCUAAGGGCUUUUGGUCCGGAGCCGUAGCGAAAGCGAGUCUUAAUAGGGCGACAAGUCGCGUGGGACAGACCCGAAACCGAGUGAUCUACCCAUGGUCAGGGUGAAGUUUCCGUAAAAGGAAAUGAAGGCCCGAACCAGUGGCGGUUGAAAACGCUUUGGAUGAACUGUGGGUAGGGGUGAAAGGCCAAUCAAACUCGGAAAUAGCUGGUUCUCCUCGAAAUGCCUUUAGGGGCAGCGUCGUGUGGUAGCAUCCGGGGGUAGAGCACUAAAUGGGUUAGGGGGCCUACCAGCCUACCGACCCCAAUUAAACUCCGAAUACCGGGUGUGAAAUCACGGCAGUGAGAAGGCGGGGGAUAAGCUCCGUGUUCAAAAGGGAAACAGCCCAGACCGCCAGCUAAGGUCCCCAAGCUACGCUAAGUGGUAAACGAGGUGUAGUUGCUAAGACAACCAGGAUGUUGGCUUAGAAGCAGCCAUUCAUUUAAAGAGUGCGUAACAGCUCACUGGUCGAGUGAUUAUGCGCGGAAAAUGUAACGGGGCUAAGCGUAGCACCGAAGCUGCGGGUUGUGCCGCCAUGCGCGGCGCAGCGGUAGAGGAGCAUUCCGUUCCGGGUUGAAGCGCGAUCGAAAGAACGUGUGGACCGAACGGAAGUGAUUAUGUCGGCAUUAGUAGCGAAAAGACAGGUGAGAAUCCUGUCCGCCGAAAGUCCAAGGGUUCCCGGGCCAGGUGACUCCGCCCGGGGUUAGUCGGAUCCUAAGCCGAGGCCGAAAGGCGUAGGCGAUGGGAAACAGGCGCAAAGAUUCCUGUACCACCUCGCGACCGUUUGAGCGAUGGGGUGACGCGGGAGGAUACGGCAGCUGUCUGUUGGUUGACAGUCUAAGCGUGUGGGCCGCGGUCCAGGCAAAUCCGGACCGCAACAGGCCGAGACGUGAAGGGACGCUGAAAUCUUCGGACAAAGCGGAUUGCCUUAUUCCAUACCGCCAAGAAAAACCUCUAGCAAGGGAGCAGGUGUCCGUACCGUAAACCGACACAGGUGGACGAGAAGAGCAUUCUAAGGCGCUCGGGAGAACUCCCCUUAAGGAACUCGACCAAUUGGCCCCGUAACUUCGGAAGAAGGGGUGCUCUAGAUGGUGAAGGGCCUGCGCCCGGAGCCGUCUGGAGCCGCAGCGAAGAGGCUCAGGCGACUGUUUACUAAAAACACAGGUCUCUGCAAAGUCGCAAGACGACGUAUAGGGACUGACGCCUGCCCAAUGCCGGAAGGUUAACGGGAGAGGUCAGCGCAAGCGAAGCCUUGAACCGAAGCCCCGGUUAAUGGCGGCCGUAACUAUAACGGUCCUAAGGUAGCGAAAUUCCUUGUCGGGUAAGUUCCGACCUGCACGAAUGGCGUAACGAUCUGAGCAUUGUCUCAAGGGGAGGCCCGGCGAAGUUGCAUUACCCGUGAAGAUGCGGGUUACCCACAGAAGGACAGGAAGACCCCGUGGACCUUUACUACAGCUUGAUAUUGCACUUCGUUGCGAUAUGUAUAGGAUAGGUGGGAGACAUUGAAGCUGGGGCGCCAGCCUCGGCGGAGUCAAUCUUGGAAUACCACCCUUAUCGUAAUGGUGUGCUAACUCCGCACCCGUGAAGCCGGGCGGAGGACAGUGUCUGGCGGGUAGUUUGACUGGGGCGGUCGCCUCCCAAAGCGUAACGGAGGCGCCCCAAGGUUCCCUCAGCAUGUUUGGAAAUCAUGCGCAGAGUGUAAAGGCACAAGGGAGCUUGACUGCGAGACCCACAAGUCGAGCAGGUGCGAAAGCAGGGCUUAGUGAUCCAGCGGUUCCGUAUGGAAGGGCCGUUGCUCAUCGGAUAAAAGGUACCCCGGGGAUAACAGGCUUAUCUCCCCCAAGAGUUCACAUCGACGGGGAGGUUUGGCACCUCGAUGUCGGCUCGUCACAUCCUGGGGCUGAAACAGGUCCCAAGGGUUCGUCUGUUCGCCGAUUAAAGUGGCACGCGAGCUGGGUUUAGAACGUCGUGAGACAGUUCGGUCCCUAUCCUCUGUGGGCGCAGGAGAAUUGAGGGAAGCUGCCUCUAGUACGAGAGGACCGAGGUGGACGAACCUCUGGUGUUCCGGCUGUCACGCCAGUGGCACCGCCGGGUAGCUAUGUUCGGAAGGGAUAAGCGCUGAAAGCAUCUAAGCACGAAGCCCAUCCCAAGAUAAAUUCUCCCUCGACCCUCGGGUCGCUGAAGGGUCCUGGAAGACCACCAGGUUGAUAGGCGGAAGGUGUAAGCGCAGCAAUGCGUUCAGCCGAUCCGUACUAAUCGCCCGUGAGGCUUGGCCUU
rnacentral:rRNA from 1 species